AGAUUCGGGGGCUGGCCCCCUCUGCGCGCCAAGCGGGAGACUGAGACUCCAGGAGCUCGGCCCAGCGCUCCUGAAUCGGUCUUUGCGGAAAAGUUGUGUCUCACGUGGAAAGAGGGCUCAUGGCAUUUUCUUGUUCAGAGAGGUGGUAGGACUCGGAGGAAUGCUCAGGAGUCACAUGAAGAAAAAGCAGGACACUGGAGUUUGAUGGCUGGAGUCUGGGCAGCAGCUGUUUGUCUAUGUGAAGGCAGGACAGACAUCCACACGACACCAGGAGCUGUGUGGGUCGGCCUCAAGAGGUGGAGGACCCUGGUAGCCUGCAGCAGAAGCCUGUGCUGCAUCCUGGUGGAGCGGAGUGUAGCGCCCACCUGCUGAAUCCUCCUUCCAUGCAGAGCUUAGGCUGAAACCAGAAGGGUGAAGAUCCCGACUCUCAAGAGUGAGGGACAACUGUCGUCAUAAGCAGGAGAGCCAGUGUCCGCAGUGGUGGGAAGACAAGGAAAGCUUAUUUCUACCCCACAAGCUUGGACUUUGAGGGAUGCGGAAGAUGGCACCCUGGGGAGUGAGUUACGGAUGGUUGGAACCCUGCAUGGGAGCACUCUCAGGGAGAGAGGAGAAUGGCAGGAGUCGCACCAAGCUGUUUCACCCCUGGAUUGCGAGUUCAGGGGCCGAGAAAAGAGGAGGGACUUCUAUUGCUGGAGAUUCUCAAUGGCACAUGGAGUCUGACUGUACAGCGAGCUGUUUGGCUUCUUCCACUCAGCACAUUAUUCUAAGGCUGCUCUGCUGUGGCACCGGUUCUCUGCUCUCUGAAAAGAAUUCAGUGGCACACACGCACAUUCUGCUCAUCCACUCCCAGGCUGAUGGACGUCGUCGGGUUGUUUCUACCUUUUGGCUACAGGGAAGACGCUAUGAUGAGCUCUGGAUAUGGGUGCUCACUGUGAUUCUGUUUUCAACUGAGGAUGGGUCUGGAGUGGAAUUUCUGGGUUCUGUUGUAAUCUAUGGUUAACUCUUGGGCCAGUCGCCACCCCAUUCUGCAAGGAUUUGCCCUGCUGUCCUCUGGCUCGUGUUGCUUCCAGCAACAAAUCUGCUGCCGUCUUCCUCCUGGUGCCCGUGCCCUGUCUGUAUCUCUGAUUGCUGUUUCAGAUGUUACCAUUUUCCUGAGAAGGUUGAUGUCUGUAGCGUAGUUUUGUUCAUAUCUUAAGAUGCAUUGAGCCUGUUAGUAUCUGCACGUACACUUUUCAAUCUAAGUGGGGCUUCAGAAAGUAGCAAUUAAAUAUAUUUUCAAUUAAUAGAUAAAUAAAAAUUAAAUGGGCAUGCUUUUAAUCCCAUCACUUGGGAGGCAGAGGCAAGUGGAUCACUGUAAGUUUGAGGCCAGCUUGGACUACGCAGUGAGUUCCAGGACAGCCAGGGCUACACAGUGAGACCCAGUUUCAAGAAACAAAGUGAAAUAAAAAUAUGUAGGUAAUGAGGAAGUAUGUGAUGUUUCAAUAAAAGGAAGAAAAAUUUGCCAUUCCUUUUAGAUGGAUGAUUACUGAGAUAUAAUUUACACAUAAUACUAUUCACCAAUAUAAAAUGCAUAAUUAAAUGACUGAUGGGUGA
rnacentral:lncRNA from 1 species